GCCAACUCACAUUUGCUGGGUACAGUUGCUCAUGUCCGAGUGGGUAUACAGGGAAGAACUGUCAGACAGACAUCAAUGAGUGUGCCACCAACCCUUGUUCUAAUGGCGGAACAUGCACAGACAAGGUCAACGGUUACCUGUGUGCCUGCAAACCUGAAUAUACAGGAGCAACAUGUGCAAGUCAAGUGAACUAUUGUGUCGGUGUUUCAUGCAGUGGUAAUGGAACAUGUAUGAAUAGGGAUCAAGGCCCAGGUUACAUGUGUAACUGCUUUCAAGGGUACACAGGCGCCAAUUGUGAGAGUCAGAUUAACUUCUGUGCCAGUCAACCUUGCCUGCAUGGUUCUAGCUGCAUACCGGCGUUGAAUACGUACAGAUGUGAGUGCUUGCCCGGAUGGA